UCAGCUGCCAGACUGAGGUGAGAUGCAGCGUGAACGUGGAGCUGGUGCAGACAUGAAAUUUCUCUUCAAAGGCGAGUGAGAAGGGGGUGAUAUAGAGAUCGGGAGAUGAAUGAACCCCUGAAGUUUACUUUGGAAAACUUCUGGUUUUUAAACCACAUCCAGAUUAUCAGUGCGGUGCUUUGGAAAGUAUCACAUUUGUUGGAGAUCACUGUUGUCCACUGUCUUGGCCAUUAGGGGACUGAUGUAGGAAGAGUGGAUACAAGUAUUUUCAGCUUGAAAAACAUUUAUGCGGAUGUCAGUGCAGGCUCACCAGUCUGGAAG